UACGAAGGGGACUAGCGUUGUUCGGAAUCACUGGGCGUAAAGCGCACGUAGGCGGAUAUGUCAGUCAGGGGUGAAAUCCCGGGGCUUAACCUCGGAACUGCCUUUGAUACAGCAUAUCUUGAGUCCGAUAGAGGUGGGUGGAAUUCCUAGUGUAGAGGUGAAAAUUCGUAGAUAUUAGGAAGAACACCGGUGGUGAAGGCGGCCCACUGGAUCGGUACUGACGCUGAGGUGCGAAAGCGUGGGGAGCAAACAGG
rnacentral:rRNA from 1 species